rnacentral:rRNA from 1 species
GCCUUGAUGUGUAGGAUAGGUGGGAGGCUUUGAAGUGUGGACGCCAGUCUGCAUGGAGCCGGCCUUGAAAUACCACCCUUUAAUGUUUGAUGUUCUAACGUGGACCCGUAAUCCGGGUUGCGGACAGUGUCUGGUGGGUAGUUUGACUGGGGCGGUCUCCUCCUAAAGAGUAACGGAGGAGCACGAAGGUUGGCUAAUCCUGGUCGGACAUCAGGAGGUUAGUGCAAUGGCAUAAGCCAGCUUGACUGCGAGCGUGACGGCGCGAGCAGGUGCGAAAGCAGGUCAUAGUGAUCCGGUGGUUCUGAAUGGAAGGGCCAUCGCUCAACGGAUAAAAGGUACUCCGGGGAUAACAGGCUGAUACCGCCCAAGAGUUCAUAUCGACGGCGGUGUUUGGCACCUCGAUGUCGGCUCAUCACAUCCUGGGGCUGAAGUAGGUCCCAAGGGUAUGGCUGUUCGCCAUUUAAAGUGGUACGCGAGCUGGGUUUAGAACGUCGUGAGACAGUUCGGUCCCUAUCUGCCGUGGGCGCUGGAGAACUGAGGGGGGCUGCUCCUAGUACGAGAGGACCGGAGUGGACGCAUCACUGGUGUUCGGGUUGUCAUGCCAAUGGCACUGCCCGGUAGCUAAAUGCGGAAGAGAUAAGUGCUGAAAGCAUCUAAGCACGAAACUUGCCCCGA